rnacentral:rRNA from 1 species
CUACGGGGUGCUGCAGUGGGGAAUCUUGCGCAAUGGGCGAAAGCCUGACGCAGCCAUGCCGCGUGAAUGAUGAAGGUCUUAGGAUUGUAAAAUUCUUUCACCGGGGACGAUAAUGACGGUACCCGGAGAAGAAGCCCCGGCUAACUUCGUGCCAGCAGCCGCGGUAAUACGAAGGGGGCUAGCGUUGCUCGGAAUUACUGGGCGUAAAGGGCGCGUAGGCGGAUCGUUAAGUCAGAGGUGAAAUCCCAGGGCUCAACCCUGGAACUGCCUUUGAUACUGGCGAUCUUGAGUAUGAGAGAGGUAUGUGGAACUCCGAGUGUAGAGGUGAAAUUCGUAGAUAUUCGGAAGAACACCAGUGGCGAAGGCGACAUACUGGCUCAUUACUGACGCUGAGGCGCGAAAGCGUGGGGAGCAAACAGGAUUAGAUACCCCAGUAGUC